CACGUAGGGCGCGAGCGUUGUCCGGAAUUAUUGGGCGUAAAGAGCUCGUAGGCGGCCUGUUGCGUCCGCUGUGAAAGCCCGGGGCUUAACCCCGGGUCGGCAGUGGAUACGGGCAGGCUAGAGGUAGGUAGGGGAGAAUGGAAUUCCCGGUGUAGCGGUGAAAUGCGCAGAUAUCGGGAAGAACACCCAUGGCGAAGGCAGCUCUCUGGGACGGUACUGACGCUGAGACGCGAAAGCGUGGGGAGCGAACAGG
rnacentral:rRNA from 1 species